AAAGCUUAAAGUCAUCAUUCUCCCAAGUUUUUGCCAGAAGAAAAAGAUAUUCGUAUGACACAUCCAGAAGGAAAGCAAAACUAGAGCUAAGCAACAAGAAAUUAAUCCACACAGAGGUACUGAUCGUCCUAAUUGGCCUUGACCAACUCCUAUUGUGCAGCUUUAAUUUCUCGGCUUCAGCAACCAUGGCACAUGAAAUAUCUACCUGUGCGUAACGGCUAAGCUUAACUGUCAAGAUAAUGGGGAAGAAUGUGCAACUAAGCUUAUAUGUCUCAACGGUUGCUUUUACAUUCUUCUUAUUAGUAGCUGAUUGUCGUCCUCACA